UAAUUGAAGAGUUUGAUCAUGGCUCAGAUUGAACGCUGGCGGCAGGCUUAACACAUGCAAGUCGAGCGGUAGCACAGGGGAGCUUGCUCCCCGGGUGACGAGCGGCGGACGGGUGAG
rnacentral:rRNA from 1 species